AUCCAGCUGAUGAGUCCAAAAUGGGACGAAACGCGCGUUAAACUGGAU
rnacentral:hammerhead_ribozyme from 1 species